UACCCCUCGCCGCCGCCGCGUGCGACCUUUUCCGCGCCUCGCCGACGUCGCUGCGCCCUGCGUGCCCGUCGUCGCCGAAGUCCUGCGCGCACGUCUUCGCAUCGUUCCGUCGCCGCCGCGCCUGGCCCCUUUGCCUUCCGCCUUCGUUCCCGAACCGCGCGCCUCGCUGAACAUCGCCGUGCGUCGCUGCCCACGUCGACGUCGUUCUUCUAACUAGAUAUGCUACCGAACUAUCGUGAGCUACUCUACGUUGUCGCAUCCGUGGGCGUACGUGGUUGCCUAGUUCGCGCGCCGGUUCACGAGAAAGCAACGGUGGUGGCGGCGACAGGCUCCCCUCUGCAGCGGCGGCGGCUCCCCUCUGCGGCGGUGGGACCCCUCUGCGGUGGCGGAGGGAACCGCGGCAUAAGGGAGCUGCGCAAGAAGGCCUUACGGCGCCUCUUCUUCUGGCGGCCCCGCGUCGUCCUCCUCGGGAGCGGCGGCCGGCGGCGCCUGAGGGAGGAGCGGUUAGACAAGCGCCCGCAGAGCCGGCAGUUCCGCCGGAUGCGCGUCGACUUCGAGCGCGUCAAGGGGAUACUACGCCUCCGGUAAGUCAGGCGCCUGCGACGGCACCAGCGCCUCGAGUGGUUCAACAGGCUCUGGUUCGCCUCCAAGGAGUUCCUAGGGCGUCCGCGCCGGUCCCUGCGGCGCCGGCGCCCGUUGUGGCGGGAGAGGCGCGUACGACUCCUCGUCGCCGUAGACGAGUUCUGCAUGGUCUAGUGCCGCGCGUUCGACCUCCGCCUCGAAGCACGCUUCCUACGCCUCGAGCUGGCGCGGUUUCCUAGGGAGCUACGCCUAUUGUAUUCGAGAAGAAAAAAGAAAAUACUUCCUCGCCUCAAUGAGUACGCCUCGACAAGUCCCAAGUUCCUCUAUGUGGGCUAACUUGUUCUUCUUCGAGAGGCGCUCCCGUUCUAGUCCUCGUACUACCUCUGUAAAAUGACCUUCCGACAACCGAAGGGGUCAAUAUUUAGGGUCAUACGUUAGAACGUGUGAUUAAGAAACACGAAGUUUACCAGGUGACGAGUGGAGGAGGAAAAUAACCCAGGAAGCAACUACUGAAACCUAGUAGUAAAUAAGGCUUUACUCGACUUAUACCAGCGGAGGGAGGCAAGGUACUCCUUCAAUCAAGUUACGCAAUUAGGGACAAGGAAUGUACACACCAAACGAAACAAGAUAAGAAUGUAACUACCUCUGUUAUCUCCAAACGCGCGCUCGAUACCAUGAUGCGUCACAUUCAUGCUGAACAAAACAUCUGUAUUUGGAAGACGUUGAAUGAUGAGCUCCUGUUUCUAACUGGGUCAUAGUACGGUUGGUAAUCUACUAGUUCUUCAAGUUCGAUACGCACCACCACCAACCUCCCGUUGAUCUCGUCGCCGAACACUGCUCCGUACCGAUCGCCGCCGAUCUCCGCCUCGACCAGCACGCCAAAUACCGGCUGUACCCCGAACAGCCUCGGCUCCGGCUGGUGCCGCACUGUUCCGCCGACCCUAUCCGCUCUGCUCCCUCUCCCUCGACCACCACCGUACCGAACGGAGUGGCCACCGACGCACACAAACCUUACGAGGCGCCUGGCUGUCCCCCGGAGUAACCUACUGUUUUCAGCUGUUUAUACCAGUUCCCGCUCCGUCCCUCCGGUUCCCGCUUCACAACAGUGGUGUAGGUGAAGGAUCCCGGCGUUCGCCGUUACCACUCCUCCACUCACUGUUGCCCUCCGAUUCCCAGAUACGGUCACUACACUACGAAUGUACAAGAUACUACAAAAAGGUUGUGUGGCAGGUACCAACGAACUGUCCUUUGUCUCUUCACCGGCCUACCCGUUAGUUGAAAAAAAAUCUUCUACCUACCCGUUAGUUGAGUAGACAACUAACCUAACCCCCCACCGUACUUGUUUCGUUCAAGAUAAAAGGGGGAGUAGGUGGAGGUAGCGAGGCCGAAGAAGAGGAAGCGAGGUACCGGUUGGGGUGGAAGAGGAGGCCGAAGAAGAGGAGGCGCAGGUAGUGCCCUUAUAUAUGAUAGAGAUGAAGGAUU
rnacentral:rRNA from 1 species